ACAGUGUGCUGCCAAGGUGAGAACUAAAAGUGGAAUGAAACAGAGAUGAUUAGCAUGGCUUCUGUGCAAGGAUGACCUGCAAAUUCAUGAAGUGUUCCAUAGUUUU
rnacentral:snRNA from 1 species